AACGGGUGAGUAACGCGUGGGCGACCUACCUUCGAGUGGGGGAUAACCUUCCGAAAGGAGGGCUAAUACCGCAUGACAUCCCGUGUUUGGAUACACGGAGAUCAAAGCCGGGGAUCGCAAGACCUGGCGCUUGGAGAGGGGCCCGCGUCCGAUUAGCUAGUUGGUGAGGUCAUGGCUCACCAAGGCUCCGAUCGGUAUCCGGCCUGAGAGGGCGGACGGACACACUGGGACUGAGACACGGCCCAGACUCCAUAACGGGAGGCAGCAGUGGGGAAUUGUUCGCAAUGGGCGCAAGCCUGACGACGCAACGCCGCGUGGAGGAUGAAGACCUUCGGGUCGUAAACUUCUUUCGACCGAGAUGAAUUCCUGCCGGCCUAACACGUCGGCGGGUUGACAGUAUCGAGGGAAGCAGCCCCGGCUAACUCCGUGCCAGCAGCCGCGG
rnacentral:rRNA from 1 species